GACGAACGCUGGCGGCGUGCUUAACACAUGCAAGUCGAACGGAAAGGCCCUUCGGGUUCCUCGAUUGGCUAACGGGUGGGUAACACGUUGAUGAUUUGCCCUGCACUUUGGGAUAAUCCUGGGAAACUGGGACUAAUACCGUAUAGGACCACACUCUUCAUGGCGGGUUGGUUCAAGCUUUUGCGGCGUUGGAUGGGCCCGCUGUCUAUGAGCUCGUUGGUGGGGUACUGGCAUACAAAGUCGCGGCCGGGUAGCCGGCCUGUGAGGGUGACCGGCCACACUGGGACUGAGAUACGGCCCAGACUCCUACGGGAGGCAGCAGUGGGGAAUAUUGCACAAUGGGCGCAAGCCUGAUGCAGAGACGCCGCGUGAGGGAUGACGGCCUUCGGGUUGUAAACCUCUUUCAAUAGAGACGAAGCGAAAGUGACGGUACCUAUAGAAGAAGCACCGGCUAACUACGUG
rnacentral:rRNA from 1 species